GACGAACGCUGGCGGCGUGCUUAACACAUGCAAGUCGAACGGAAAGGCCCUGCUUUUGUGGGGUGCUCGAGUGGCGAACGGGUGAGUAACACGUGAGUAACCUGCCCUUGACUUUGGGAUAACUUCAGGAAACUGGGGCUAUACCGGAUAGGAGGUCCCGCCGCAUGGGGGGGGGUGGGAAGGUUCGGCGGUUGGGGAUGGACUCGCGGCUUAUCAGCUUGUUGGUGGGGUAGUGGCUUACCAAGGCUUUGACGGGUAGCCGGCCUGAGAGGGUGACCGGCCACAUUGGGACUGAGAUACGGCCCAGACUCCUACGGGAGGCAGCAGUGGGGAAUAUUGCACAAUGGGCGGAAGCCUGAUGCAGCAACGCCGCGUGCGGGAUGACGGCCUUCGGGUUGUAAACCGCUUUCGCCUGUGACGAAGCGUGAGUGACGGUAAUGGGUAAAGAAGCACCGGCUAACUACGUG
rnacentral:rRNA from 1 species